rnacentral:lncRNA from 1 species
AUGGGCUCCGAACCCCGAUCCAGGCCCAGGGGUGAGCUCCAGACCCUUGGGGGAGGAGGCGCGGGCCGCAAAGGAAAAGCUGGAUGGAGGCCCCAGGAUGCGUGCAGGGCGGCAAAAACUACUGAGCUAAAUCCCCGGCAGAGGGCAUCUUCACUGAGACCGCGUUACCACGCUUUGAAGGAAGGAGAAAAAUUUGACCUUGCUUACUAUAGACAGAAGCCGGAUUCCCCAGCGACUGUUGGUAAGCCAUACGGGUAUGAUGAAAGGCAGCAGGAAGCUCUGCAGGAGAGAGGCAGAGUCAGCUCGGCCUCCCCUUCUGCCUGCGCACCCCCAGCCCAGGCAGGGAGCGCCCGCCCAAGAGGCACCUGCAGUUCGUGGUUGAGGCAGCCACAGACGUGGGAGGAGAGGCCCAGCGUGUCCAAGGCCGUGCGGGCGAACUCGUCGGCACUCUUCACCAGCAGCCCGGUUGAGUUGUUGUUGAUCAUGUUUGUGGAGACAAACGAGGGGCUCACCGUCUGCAGGAGAGGACGGAAGGGGUCCAAGAAUCAAUGCUGUGCCUCUGUUAAGACCCACCCACCUCCCCUGUCUAGCUGAGUAUCCAAGACCCCAAGACCUAGACCCGGCCCCCAGAUAGAGCCCUGCCCUAGACCCCGCCUCCAAGGCCAAGGCCAUGCCCAGUCUAGACCCCGCCCCCAGAUGGCGAUGGCCCAGUGGCCUAGACCCCGCCCCUAAAGCCAAGGCCACUCCCCAAGCCCUAGACCCACCCCCAGGUAUAGACCCCACCCUCAACGCUCCAUCCUAGCCUGCGGUGGGAACACAACCCCAUGGAUCCCUAUUGAACCACUGAUCUUUAAGUCACCAGACUCUCUUCCUUCUCCUCCAGAGCUGCUACCCCAGCCACAUCCUUUGAGCCCUCCACCCGCCCCCAGUCGGGCACCUGGAUGGUGACACCGUGAGGGGAGUACUCUGCGCCCACAGCCUCGGAGAAGUACUGCACAAAGGUCUGCAGAGGAAGGAGAGGAGGUCCCGGGAGUGAGGCCCUGACCCCCGGGCCAGGUACUGUUGUUCCCCUUGUCCCACCCCCAUUCAGCACUUUCCCACCAUGAGCUCCCAGCCAGGACACAGGGAGAGGGAGGACUCUGGCUCAGCAGGGCGCCCCCCGGAGUCUGGGGGUCCGGGUACCUUAGUGGCUGAGUAUAAGGCAGUAGACAGGAUGCCCCUUUCAGAGACUAAGGAGGACACGUUGAUGAUGACGCCCCUGCCCCUGGCAGAGCAAACCGUGUUAGAAGGUGGUCACUGCCCAGGGGGAUAAAGGGGCGGGGUGGGAGUCCCCACCCACCCUUAGCCGGAGCCCUAAUCUGAAAGGCCUGGGGAGAGUGGGGACUGGGACCUGGCAUGGUAGUGCAUGCCCAUAAUCCCAGGAGCCCGGAGGCUGAGUCAGGAGGGUCACGAGUUGGAGGUCAGUUCAGGCUGACACACACACAAAAAGACUUGGAAGCGGGGCGGGGCUGGAGAAAGGGGAAAGCCUGGAGGCUGGGGGCAUCGAUGACAGAGCGGCUGAGGG